AGAUGGAAAAGACCUGCUGGGUUUCAGGGAGGGAGGCAGGCAAGCCAGAAGCAGAGACAAAGCAUGCUGCAAAUUGCCUGCUCAUCUGUGUCCUUCACUGCCUGGAUUGCUUCAUGGUGUUUACAUAGCAAAGCAAACUCUACAACAUCCCAGGGGCCCAAUGCUGCUGCCCCGGAAUACCGGCAUUUGUCUUUUCUUCAGGCUGUGAAAAGGAACUUAACCUACAUCGGAAAUGUUGUGCUUCAACCAGCACAUACUACUGAGCAGAGGACCUUCAAGCAUAAGGCCUAAAUAGGUAACAUUAUCAACUAACUGG